rnacentral:misc_RNA from 1 species
UUUCCGUAGGUGACCUGCGGAGGACAUUAGUGAUUUUGAAUCGUUACCUUCAGUGCUGGCUGGUGCUCCAGCAAGUGCACGUUGGUGACUUUCAUCCAUACCCCUGUGCACCUUUGGCCUCUUGCUGGCUUCGGCUGACAGAGGAUUUUUUACACACAACUCGAAUGUAAUGAAAACUACUGUUGUGCGCAAGCACUACCUAAUGUACAACUUUCAACAACGGAUCUCUUGGCUCUCGCAUCGAUGAAGAACGCAGCGAAAUGCGAUAAGUAAUGUGAAUUGCAGAAUUCAGUGAAUCAUCGAAUCUUUGAACGCACCUUGCACCCUUUGGUAUUCCGAAGGGUAUGCUCGUUUGAGUGUCAUUGUACUCUCACACUCUCUGAUCCUUUGGAUUGGGAGUGGUGGACUUGGGUGUUGCUGCUGCUGUGUGGCUCACCUCAAAUGCAGUAGUGCACCUCCUGGUUGGACAU